UACGUAGGGUGCUAGCGUUGUUCGGAAUCAUUGGGCGUAAAGCGCGUGUAGGUGGUUAACUAAGUCGGGUGUGAAAUCCCUAGGCUCAACCAAGGAAGUGCAUUCGAAACUGUUAACUAGAAGAUGGUAGAGGAAGGUGGAAUUCCAGGUGUAGAGGUGGAAAUUCGUUAGGAUAUCUGGAGGAAUACCGGUGGCGAAGGCGGCCUUCUGGACCAAUAUUGACGCUGAGAGCGAAAGCCAG
rnacentral:rRNA from 1 species